rnacentral:rRNA from 1 species
GACGAACGCUGGCGGCGUGCCUAACACAUGCAAGUCGAACGGAAAGGCCCUGCUUUUGUGGGGUGCUCGAGUGGCGAACGGGUGAGUAACACGUGAGUAACCUGUCCCUGACUUUGGGAUAACCUCAGGAAACUGGGGCUAAUACCGGAUAGGAGCUCUUGCCGCAUGGUGGGGGCUGGAAAGUUUCGGUGGUUGGGGAUGGACUCGCGGCGUAUCAGCUUGUUGGUGGGGUAGUGGCUUACCAAGGCCUUGAGGGGUAGCCGACCUGAGAGGGUGACCGGCCACGUUAGGACUGGGAUACGACACAGACUACAACGGGACGCAACGGUGGAGAGUAUUACACAGUGGACUGGGGCCAGGUGCGACGACGCCACGUGCGGGAAGUGAGCCUUCGGGUUGUAAACCGCUUUCGCCUGUGACGAGGCGAGAGUGACGGUAAUGGGUGAAGAAGCACCGGCUAACUACGUG